rnacentral:rRNA from 1 species
AUACGUAGGGCGCGAGCGUUGUCCGGAAUUAUUGGGCGUAAAGGGCGUGUAGGCGGUUUGGACAGUCAGAUGUGAAAUCCCCGGGCUUAACCUGGGAGCUGCAUUUGAUACGUCCAGACUAGAGUAUGAGAGAGGGUUGUGGAAUUCUCAGUGUAGAGGUGAAAUUCGUAGAUAUUGGGAAGAACACCGGUGGCGCAGGCGGCAACCUGGCUCAUUACUGACGCUGAGGCGCGAAAGCGUGGGGAGCAAACAGGAUUAGAUACCCUGGUAGUCCACGCUGUAAACGAUGUGUGCUGGAUGUUGGGUAACUUAGUUACUCAGUGUCGUAGCUAACGCGAUAAGCACACCGCCUGGAGAGUACGGCCGCAAGGUUGAA